ACAGCCGAGAGUCCCGCGGAGACCACAACUCCCAGCAUUCUCCUCUAGGCCGCCUCCUGAGCGGAAAGACUUCUUCGCUAGCACAUCAAUCACUGCUUCUGCUAUUUAAGGUUCAACACUGUGGCUGAAGACUUGUGACACUUCACUGAUGCAAGGGUUGUGUUCAGCCUCUUUGUGCAGCUGAAUGCAGGGGCCACAUCCUGGAGAGGCUAAGCAUCUCACGGCCAAAGCUUGUUACUGGAGGGACUGUGCAUAUGUCUCAAUUUUCCACUAAGGACCUUCAUCCCAGUCCGCCAGAGGUGGAAACAUCACCAACAUCAUCUUCUUCCUAUUUGCACAAGUGCUGUUUUCUGGCCAUCUGUAUGCUAUCAGAAAAAAAACAUAAGCUCAUUUUCUAGAGCAGCUGGAUCUCUUUUGCUCUCCAGCUUUGGUAACUAAAGGAAGGGAUAAAAGCACUUGCAAUCUCUUCUAGACAGGGUGUUUGAAUCCACCCUCACGCUACUCCUCUACUAAAGGAUAUCAGUACUAUGAAAAUUAGUUUACAAAACAGCCUCUGCAGCAGCAAAGUAAUGCAACAGCAAGCAGAGACUAGACCAUUCAAUACUUCAGACUAUACAGAUGGGCAAGUCUUACUAGGCACUGCUGCUAGGAUUCAUGUUAGCAUGACAUGGAGCUAGUGUAGGGAAUACAACUAUUUCUAAAGUGCUAUCUUUCUCUGAACAGCAGCAGCAAACUAGUUUAUGUUUUCUCAUCACAGUGAUAAAAUAGGAUGAGCGUAUCUGUACACGGUAAAGAAAUUUACCACACAUUUUUUUCUAGGAUAAUCAACCACUAUGAUAAAUCUGCAGAAAGUCAGGCUGUCUGUUGUGUUUAUUCUUUUACAUACUUGAUAGCUCCUGCUAGGACAUUUUUGUUGGUGAAACAGAGCAGUAUCUCUCUCAGAUAGAGUAACUGUGGAAAGGAUUAACAAGACUUCUGUGAAUGUAUGAGAAAAAAAGUUUGCACGAGCAAUUUAACGUGGUUGCUGAGUUGCAAAAAAAAAACAGUAAGAUUCUAGAUAAAGUAUUGAGGUAGUUUUAAAAAGCUUUUUUCCCUCCUUUGAGCAGCUCUUCCAAGAGAUACUGUAGAGCCAGAAAGGCCCAGUGAAUCAAGAAGCUUCAGAAACAAGCUCCUUCUCUUGCAACUACUAAAUCCUGAAGUAGCCUGCACAUUGUUCAUCCUCUUGAGAGAAAAGUUUUUAAACAAAAAGCACUCAAGGUCCACUGUUAUUUCACAAAUGUUUAAUGUUUGUUUUUAAAAUAGUACUGUUUAAACAAGAGAAAAAAGUACCUACACAUACACGGUCUCCUUGGACACUGGUGAAAGAACUUAAAUUACAGACAGACCCAUGAACACCACGUUC
ensembl:lncRNA